UUGGCGAAAGACUAUUAAGGGAGCUAUCUCAGGUUUUUACUGUACUUUUUAAACAAUCUGAAGAGGCCGACUGAGCGUCACAUACAAAAGACAACCAAUAAGGGCUGAUUACAGAUGCCAUGAUCUCAGGACACCUACCAUGACGUUACUUCUGAGGAACCACCUUCCACCUUUAUGUUCAGGUCAAAGAGAUUGAUCCCUCCAGGCAUUGUUGAGGAUGGUCAAGUAAAUAUCUUUUACCGUUCAUGGGAAAUUCUGCCUGGCCCUGAUGCUGUCAUUUCUGGAUCCAACCCCUGUGAUGAUGUCACUUCUAGUUCCGGCCUCUUUGAUGACUUCACUUCUGGAUCGGAGCCUAUGGAUGAAGACCC